GAUCCUGGCUCAGGAUGAACGCUGGCGGCGUGCUUAACACAUGCAAGUCGAACGAAGCAAUCUAACGGAAGUUUUCGGAUGGAAGCCAGAUUGACUGAGUGGCGGACGGGUGAGUAACGCGUGGGUAACCUGCCUCACACUGGGGGACAACAGUUAGAAAUGACUGCUAAUACCGCAUAAGCGCACAGGACCGCAUGGUCUAGUGUGAAAAACUCCGGUGGUGUGAGAUGGACCCGCG
rnacentral:rRNA from 1 species